rnacentral:misc_RNA from 1 species
AUCUCUUAGACUUUUUUUUAGUUUUAUGGCGAUUUAGAUAAGAUAGAUGGCGGACGGGUUUGGUGCUAGUGUUUGACUUGAAAAAAAAGGAAGUGAGCGAUGUUACAUUGAGAAAUCUAUAAAACAUGGAUUUAACUUAUCCCAUUUGCAGAAUAAAAAUGAUAUGAUGUCCUUGUACGUGAACCCAUACACAAAUUAAGGAAGUAUUAGUGCCAUAGCAACAAUCAUCAUACUCUUGCCCAUUUCCUUUGUGAUCUAGAUACCUCUUUUUCGGAGUGUAGUUCAAGAUUUGCCGUGUUUUAACUGGUUGUGUAUAUAUAAACUCAGUAAACUAGUGUUACUUAUCGUGUAAAAUGAUUUAAAAGUGAAAUAAUUGGUUAGUUUUAUGGUAACCUCGAACGCGGAAGUUUUGAGAGCUAGCCGCAUAUGAAGCAGAAUAUCAUCGGCAGAUGUGUUAGCUAGUGUUGACUCUACUACAGUUAUUGAAGAACAAAUAUCAAAUAUCAUUAUGCAUGAACUUUGAGUACUGAUGAUUAAAUAAUGGUUGAAAUAGGCGCCCCUCAAAAGUCCGCCGAAGAGAGUUUGGAGAAUGCCGAUUGGUAUUGGGGUGAUAUCACUCGAGAUGAGGCUAUUGAGAAACUGCGGGACACCUGUGAUGGCACCUUCUUGGUGCGCAACGCAUCUAACAAAGAUAGUGGUUAUACUCUGACAUUGAGAAAGGGGGGUAUGAACAAACUUAUCAAAAUCUACAACCAUGAGGGGCGGUACGGGUUCUGUGAGCCAUUUGACUUCAAGUCAGUGGUGGAUCUUGUUAGGUUCUACAGUGAAUUUUCACUGGCUCAUUGCAAUAGCAGCCUUGACAUCAAGCUUAUGUACCCAUUGUCCAGAAAAAGGGACAAUGAUGGUGGAGAAAAUAUGAGUAAUGAUACCCUAGAAACUAAAUUUAAGGAAAUCCACAAAAAAUAUGUAUUGAAAACAAAAGACUUUGAAGUUCGCUCUUACAAAUAUACAAGGUUAAGGGAAGAAGUAAAUAUGAAGAAGCAAGCAUUAGACGCCUUCACAGAAACUGUCAAAAUCUGUGAAGAACAUUUAAAGUUGCAAGAAAAGAUGCAGGCUGAAGCACAGCCACAUGAGAAAAAUUCUGUGUUAGAAAACAAUAGAAAUCUAAUUUCAAGAGUUCAAAACCUAAAGCAAGCUCAGAUAGCCUUAAAUGAUAUUUUGAGAAAUACAGUCACUGCACAAUUGCUUCUUGAGAGAGAGAUAGCCAAACUGAAGUCUGAUGUUACAGAUCUCUAUAAAAUCAAAGACCGCUACAAAGUGUGGCUACAAGGACGAGGUAAAACAGACGAGUACCUGCAUUUAUUAGAAGAUGACAAUAUACACAAGCUUGAAGAGUUGUACGCACACAGAGAAUCAAUCAGUUGGAACGUCAACUGUACUAGAGAGACAGCUGAGAAACUCCUCACAGGGAAACCACAAGGAACAUUUUUAAUUCGGCCUAACUCGACUGGACAAUUAGCCUUAUCAAUUUGUUGUAACAACAUGGUCUACCACUGUAUUAUCUUUACAACUGAACGAGGUUAUGGAUUUGCUGAACCCUAUAAUGUUUAUGAAACUUUGAAUGAGCUUGUCCUACAUUAUGCUGUUAAUUCAUUAGAAGAACAUAACGAACAAUUAAAAACUGAAUUGAAGUAUCCAGUAAACGCACAUCUUGUGAAGAAACCUGAGAAAAAACAAUGAAAUGGCCAAUGCAAACAGAAAAUGUAUUUGCCAGAAAUUGUCUGCUAGUUCAGACAAAGGUCAUAUGACGACUUGGAGACCUACUAAAGGAAACUGAAAUGUUAAUUACCUUCUUGUGACCUUCAUGUAAUGAUUUACUAAUAAGGAUUUAAAGAAUCACAAACUUAUCAACUAAUGAUUCAUAAAAUCUUCCAAAGUCAAAGGACGACUAUGAAUUACUCUUGAUUGUUUCACUAAAUGUACUGUGAGGGAACAUAAUAAUACGAGAAGAAAGUAUUCAUGUACAGGAAUGUAAUGUAAGUUGAUAUUUCCGUGUUUAUAGCUUUAGAGAGUCGUUAUAAUAAUGAUCAAACAAUUAUUGUACAAAUGCUUUGGUACCUAUGUACAAUGUGGUACUUACCAUAAUUAUUUUAGAUUUGUGCACAAUAACUUCAAUUUGCUUUCUAUUGAUUUGGUUUUAUUUUUAUUGUGAUAAUAUUGUGAUAAAACCAAAAUCAGUUUUGAAAUACCAGUUUUAUUGUUUUAUGAACAUUGAAAAUGAUUCUCAGGAGCUUUUAAGAGUUUAGGAUACUCUGUACACAUAUUUUUAUAUUUGUUGUAUUUUACAAACUAAAGUGUUCUUCCUUAUUAAUAAUUGAUGUUAUUAAAUUGAUUGGGGCCUUUACGGAUCGGCAGCAUUGGAGGAAGGAUUAUAAAUAACAGCUGAUUCGAAAUUGGAGACUGUUGAGAACAAAAUUACUUUGAAAUGUGUUAGUAAGCUCUCAGUUCGAUUGAUAUUGAGUCUGCGUCCAUAGACAUGUGUUAUACAGUCGACUUUGCAACGACAAGAUUUCACAUAUUGAAAAUAAAUUACUAUCUUUAAUGGCCUAUAAAUAUAUUAUCACUUUGCUUUAAUCUAUGAAUGCAGACUCAAUGCAUGCAAAGUUCUCUUAGAGAUAUGUAUGUGAUAGUAAUGAUUAGCGUUUUAGAGUUCUGAUAUUUGUGUAUAUUAUGUGAUUGAUUUUUGUUACAUUGUUUUUAAUGGGUUAUUGUGAUGCGAGGUUAAAAUUAUUCCAUAUCAUUGAUCAUUGAUAUAUCCAUAUUUAUUAUCUUUCCUUACACAUACUGUGUCUGCUUGGGGAUUGUAUAAAGUCCGCCAAAUAAUAAAUUGCUAUAUAAGUCGAGAGUUGUUUGGAAUGCCCAAACAUCGCAAUUUUUUCAAAAUAAAGUCUCCAGAAAAGUUUCAAAUAGCAAGAUUACUGUCUAUAAGAACCUGUUUUGGUAAUGCGCAAUAUUGUAAUGAUAUUGAAAUUAUUUCCUAUAUUGAGUGUAGUACUCAUUGUGGUAAUAAUUUAAAUAGUUUUACAUUUUCACUAUUAACAGUAAACCGAUUUUAUCUCUGGUAAUGAUAAAUAGAUCUGAUCACUGUUUUCCUUGUAACUCGACAAAUAUGAAGAUAAUCCUGAGUUUGAUGUUGCGUGUAUUAAAGCAGAUACUUAUACAUUUAUAUGUAUAACCAGUGCAUGAGUGAUAAGUUAAUGUUUACUUGGCGCAAAUCUAUGAAAUGUUUUACUAAAACCGGUAUCGAGAAUUUAUCUCUACUGUUUUAUCAGCGGUAGUGAUUCCAGUAAAAACAUUGAUGGUAUGCUUCGCCACAGUGGAUGUCGUUUAUGAUUUCAGUGCGUUUCAGUACUGCAGUUUACAUUGAAGUGUGUUAAUUCAUGUGUAUUAGUGUGCGAGUCUCGUCAAUUAAAUGUUUUUUCACUUUAUUUUCUAUAUGUAACAAUAUGUAAGAAAAGAUGAUAUGAUUGUAUUGCUAGUAGAUAGAUUGUAAGUAGGACUAACCAAUUCGUAAAAUGUUAUAUUUAUAUUAUAUAAUUUUGUUUCAUUCAAAACUCCUAAUGUUUUGUUAUCUGAACAAUUUUCCAUAACAUAAUUAUGUCUAUGUUUGGCAAAAAUUUUACUGUAGUUGUAAUCUCGUAUUUUAUGGUAUAAUUUUCAUUAUAAUUAAUAUUAUCAGGAAAAAACUGAACUGCGACAGUAAACAAGACAUGGCAUAAAAACAGUUUAUUUAGCCAAACUUGGCUUUUUGAUGAUGAGAAUGAAAGGGAUAGUAAAACGAUUGACAUCCUCACGAACACUUCCUUAUCGCCUACUACUGUGAUAGACAUUUCAAUGUUCUAAAAUACCUAUAUUAUGGCUAUUCCAGAGACAAUUUAAUAACUAUCUCCAAUAAAUUGUCGAUUUGUGAAGUUUUAUGAAACAUAGUAAGCUAUCCUAAUUUGGUUUGUGCAGUCCAAAAGUACCAUGUCAAAAUUCUAAGCACCAACGAAAACAUGCUUCAUUAUUACGACGAAUAUGUAGUUUAGAUACGAAAAUCUUUGAAUGAAUAAUAUCAUUUAGUCAACAGUAAAAGCUCGUUAUUGAAUUACUACUUUUGCUGUUGGCUGUACUAUAAUUUUUGGCCUACUACGAAUUCUAAGGCUAUUUCGGUAUCGUUCGUGUUUAUAAAUAUUUUUGUCGGGUAUAGUAUUGUAACUUACUGAAAUAGUGAUAAAUAUUGAAUCGACAGUACCUAUUAAUCCACUGAUCAGUCGAAUGUGUAUUUCUAUUUGAGGAGAUCGUCUAGAGUUGGCCUCCGAAUUUUGUAAAAAUGUAUUCACCUGCUUUUGAAUUUAAAUCAGUUAUUUAAUCAUUUAAUCUUGUACCCUUUCGCAUCCACUACAAAACGUGCCAGAAACAGUUGCAAUAGAUAACUAUUUACACUGAUUCUGUUUAUAUACAGUAAGAAAUUUCAUUACUAUUAGGAUUGAAGAUAUCCUAUCAAAAAAUAUAAUUAAAUUAUUUAAUUCGAAUUCAAUUAUGUACCGUUGAUUUCACGUAGUCAAUGUAAUCAUCGUUAACAAAUUCGAUAACAGUCUCUAAAACAUGUGCAAUAGUAAUGAAAGCUAAGAUGAAAAAAUAUUUAUAAAAUUGUGUACCUUACCUAAUUAAUUUUACUUCAUCAAUGAAAUGAAAAAUCUUAAGUAGCACCCUAGAAUACGUUCUAGUUCUAGCAUUUAGAUUAUGUCCAAAAUUAUAUUUCAUAGUUUCUUAUGUAAAAUAUCAACAAAUAUAAAAAAAUAAACGAAUUUUUAAGUAUUGGAAUAACUAAACUUUGGAGGUGAAAGGGUUGCGACUAUUAAUUAUACAUUUUAUUUCCACUGCACAUAAAGCUUUAAAAUGAAUAACGCCCGCUGCAGAAUAAUUAGGUGAAUCAAUUUGCCAUCCAGGAUUCUACAUUUUGGAACUGUAUAUUGAAAACUGUUUUUUACAAAAUUAAUAAUAUAAUUUAGAUUUUACAUACAUAAUAUAUACCUAUUUACUUAUAAGUUUAAAGAUUAUAUAAUUGCAAUUUUAUGUAAAACUAAAUAUCAUUAAAUGAUCUCAAGAGUGAAUAUAAACUUAAGGUAUAAUUCAAAUGUUUGUUUGAUAGUUUUUUAGACUUCAUAAUAAUGUAUAACUAAAGUCAAUAGCAGCCAAAUUGGAAAACUUACAUAAAAUUAGUGAACACUCAGUCGCCAUUUUAUAAGUGUAAUAGUAGAACGUUUUAAUAAGUGUUAAUAAACAAACUAUCAAUGAAAA